GUCAAUUCGAAAACUCCAACCUCUGUCUGGACAAUUGUUCAUUUAUGAUCUAGUCAGGUCAUUACAAUAUAUACACUAGAUGAAUUAUAGGGGACGCUAUGUGUCUCCAUCUUGGCACUCCCCCACAUUGUAGAAAAUAUUUUGGAAGCUAUAGAAAUGCAUUUAUUAAUGUAUUUUAUUCUAUUACAGACACCUUAAUACAUACUUUAAAAUUAUAUUAUGUGAGAUAAAAAAUUAAAAUAAAUCCUUGAAGUAUAAUUUUGAGCGAUUACUAAUGUUACUGUCCUCACUACAAUAACAAAAUACUUAAAUACAUGGAAUGUUGUGCUUGAAAUAUCUCAUUUAAAUAUAGAAUUUAAUUCAUUCGUUCCUCCCCACCAUCUAUCUUAAGUAAGUCUGCGUAUUGGCAGAUAGAGAGAGUGCAUCAAGUGAACACCCUUCCUAUCUUCCUCUCAACUUUUCCCACUACAACUGUUAGAUUAGUUAGUCAGGUAUAAUAUAAAAACAUCUGUAUUUUAUGUUAUAUAUAAUCAACUGUAAAAUCGACAGUAGAUAUUAUUAGAAACUCUGAACUGACACAUUUUACACGUGUCAUGCAUUAUUAAAAUGCCAGCAGUGAUCUGAAGAUCAAAGUGUUCUGGGCUUAAAGAGCGAUUGCCCCUAAAAAACAACGAAUCCCUUUGAAAAUGGCCUAUGAGGCGUCCUUGUGAGUCAUAAUAAUUUAUUAUAGUGUCAAAAUUGAUUACAAAGUGUAAUAGCAUAAUUUUGGUCAUAAAGUCAGUCUCGCCUAGAAUGGAGUUUGGAACCUCAGUGUGUCACAACAAAUAACUGAAGGUUGAGUUUGGAUUACAAUUAUGUCAACAAAUCAUGCUACCCUUUCCCAAGCUCCACAAGCAAAUCGCCCCUCAGCCUCCCUUUAUUGAAUGGGGCUCCCGUUGUUUCAUCGCCCCCAACCAAUACGUUCAAAGGAUCACGGCCAUUCGAUUGACCAUGCAAUCAAUGCAAUGCUUCCAGAAGGCUGCACAGCCAAAAGACGAUGGUUUGCAUGCCCUGCUGAAGGACCCUAUCAUGCGCAAUAGGUGGUUGGAUUGCAUUGCUCUCCAGUGGUGACAAAGUGCACAGUUGGUCAUGAACGGAUGCCAGGACCAACAAGAAAGAGCAAAGGCCAUACCAGUCAACACCACCUCAACACCACCUCAUAAGACUGCCUGCUGCACUUGUUCGGGAGAUGUCCAGUUUGCAGCCGGACAUGGGGGCCCUCAUCAGCAGAAGGUAACACACAGAAGUAUCUUUGAAGAGAGGGCAGGAGCUAAUCUACGCUGCCAUGUCUAUCAAUGGGGCUCUGGCAAUGACCUUACCUCUUGCCUGCCCACCAAUGGUCGUCGAUGGGGAGAACAGAAUUAGAAACAUGUAUGGAGCCAGCACAUGGAGACUUGCAAAAUGAUGUGAUGAAGUCCAGACCGACAUACGCACUUGAUACUGAUGUCUCUGAUUGUUGAGAGACCUGGAACUCAUCAUAAAAUGUUUACUAGACACAACUUUUACUUGUAUUGUCUUUCUUAUUAUUGAAUGGAAUGGUAUCAGUCAGUAUGGGGAGGAAGAAACCCUGUGUAUUCUGCACCAGGAUCAGGGAAAUCCUGUUGUAUACGAGACACCACACAGGGAGGUAUGACCACUGACAUGUUUACCAAGGUGGCCCAAUUACCACAAGAGAAAAUGCCGAUAGGCACAGUGUCUAUCGUCUGGGAACGACAAUGAAAGGUGCACAUUGUUAUAUUAGCAGAACACUGAUUCUAUGGUAUUGUGUAAAGGGUUGUUUAUUCUACAUGGACCAGUUAGUACAUUUGAAAGACUGGUAACACACUUUGUUUAUAACAUCUACAUAAAUUCAAAAAUUGCAUUCUUCUCAUAUUAUUCUGUAGGCUGACUUAUUCAAAGCUUCCUCAAGCAUCUCACCAUACAGUUGUAGUUGAGCCUGUAGUUGAGUUACAGCCUGUUGUUGAGAUCAACCUGCAGGAUGUUUGUUAGUGGGGAGAAACAGCUGCUGGCAAGGUUCUGACAGAUGGGUGUGUCUUGGUGGUGGCAAGGACACACCCGAGAAACACUCGCAUCAAACCACACCCCCAAGCCAACUCUCGUUCGGCUUCUGUCAUGGCUGCCAGCAUUUCAUAAGGAGCAAGCCAAAAAAUGAGGCCAAAUCAGCAGGUGUAAUUCCCUUUUAAGGUUGUAACACAUUAUUGGACAGGAGAAACAGUUAAAUGGGAAAAUAGCGCUUUGGAGUUUGUGACAACAGAUAUAACAUUUGUUUAUUGUUUUCAA